rnacentral:lncRNA from 1 species
AUGCAAAAUAUUCAGGAAUACUUUCCAUGUAGUUAUGAAAAUAGACUAGGAAAAUUAUCACAUUCUCAGGACUGGGUUACAUUUUUAUAUCUUAUCAUAGAGCAGUUAAUUUCUGGCUAUUUCUUGCAGGACCUAACCCCAGCUGCUGGCUCCUUCCAGAGGCAGGACUUUGCACACAAAUGGCACAGACAGCAGUGCCCUCUCUCCCAUCAGCAGUGGACUUGUGGCACUGAGAUGUCCAAGGAUCACACCGAGAGAAUUCCUGCUGAGCUCCUGCUGUGGAAGAGCUGGCACAGACAGGAAGAAAAGCUGCUUUUAAGUCCUCCUGGUACGUGCAUUGUCCUUGAAGAGAGGGGCCUUGUACAGAACAUCCCCAGCUCACCCCUGCUCUGCAGCUCUCACUCGUGGGAGACUCACUCCGAGCAGCAGCUGCUUCUCUUGGUGCUUGUCCAAGGCAACUGGAGCUGUGAAACUUUUGAGGAUCACCUUUCACAUUAAAUCUGUUUUCUUCAGGAAAUAAAUUCUCACUUCAGCGUGGCCUGUGCUAUAUA